rnacentral:rRNA from 1 species
GCUUAACACAUGCAAGUCGAGGGGCAGCAUGAACUUAGCUUGCUAAGUUUGAUGGCGACCGGCGCACGGGUGAGUAACACGUAUCCAACCUGCCGAUAACUCGGGGAUAGCCUUUCGAAAGAAAGAUUAAUACCCGAUGGCAUAGUUCUUCCGCAUGGUAGAACUAUUAAAGAAUUUCGGUCAUCGAUGGGGAUGCGUUCCAUUAGGUUGUUGGCGGGGUAACGGCCCACCAAGCCUUCGAUGGAUAGGGGUUCUGAGAGGAAGGUCCCCCACAUUGGAACUGAGACACGGUCCAAACUCCUACGGGAGGCAGCAGUGAGGAAUAUUGGUCAAUGGACGAGAGUCUGAACCAGCCAAGUAGCGUGAAGGAUGACUGCCCUAUGGGUUGUAAACUUCUUUUAUACGGGAAUAAAGUGAGGCACGUGUGCCUUUUUGUAUGUACCGUAUGAAUAAGGAUCGGCUAACUCCGUGCCAGCAGCCGCGGUAAUACGGAGGAUCCGANGCGUUAUNCCGGAUUUAUUGGGGUUUAACAGGGGAGCGUANGGCGGNNACGCUUAAGUUCAGUUGUCGAAAGUUUGGCGGCUUCAACCCGUAAAAUUGCAGUUGAUACU